rnacentral:misc_RNA from 1 species
GGAAAGGGAAAAAAGGGCCACCAAGAAUGAAUUGACAGAAUUUUUUUAUCUGAUCUAAACCAUUGGAUUAACUCUUUGUUUGUGUUGAUAGAUCUGUUAAGACUUCUCUUUUCUCAUCCUCAGAAAAUCUGAGGAAAAUCUCUAAAGAUGAAACGAUUGAGAGAUGAUGGGUAUGAUAGCCCUUCGUUUAAGCGGCCAUUUGGCUCCAACAGAGGAGAAUCCUACAGUCCAUCACAAGUUCCAGGAAGUGGUCAGGGUGG